rnacentral:rRNA from 1 species
GACGAACGCUGGCGGCGUGCCUAAUACAUGCAAGUCGAGCGAACAGACGAGGAGCUUGCUCCUCUGAUGUUAGCGGCGGACGGGUGAGUAACACGUGGAUAACCUACCUAUAAGACUGGGAUAACUUCGGGAAACCGGAGCUAAUACCGGAUAACAUGUUGAACCGCAUGGUUCAACAGUGAAAGACGGUCUUGCUGUCACUUAUAGAUGGAUCCGCGCCGCAUUAGCUAGUUGGUAAGGUAACGGCUUACCAAGGCAACGAUGCGUAGCCGACCUGAGAGGGUGAUCGGCCACACUGGAACUGAGACACGGUCCAGACUCCUACGGGAGGCAGCAGUAGGGAAUCUUCCGCAAUGGGCGAAAGCCUGACGGAGCAACGCCGCGUGAGUGAAGAAGGUCUUCGGAUCGUAAAACUCUGUUAUUAGGGAAGAACAAAUGUGUAAGUAGCUAUGCACGUCUUGACGGUACCUAAUCAGAAAGCCACGGCUAACUACGUG